UAUUUCUCUGCGAACAGAAACGAGAGCUGAAAUCUCAGUGGUGUGGAUCAUAUUUGUGUAUGUUCGGAGCCAUGCAUUAUUUUUUAAAACAAAACGUUUAGUUGCAAUGUGCAUUUUCCACGCUAUGCGGCUCGCUUAUCCUGUUGCCCGACCUUUAAAGCGAGUGAACACACCGAAGGCGUCGUUUAUAAAUCAGACCCUUCAGAAAUGAAUGGCAAAUUAUGUAUCAUGCGAUGUGUAGACCGGACAGUGGCGAUGUGCUUGCUAAAGUGGAUAUUUCAUCUUUAAAUUGAAUUAAACGGGAACCCAAGGAAAACUGCCACUAAACUUUCGACCAUAUCGAUUGCUUCUUUGCUUCUUAACGUGGUUCCAGGCGGAAUUCCCGCCAGUUCUUCCACCCAGCACGCGAUAUAUCAGAGCGCACCGACUGCAUACAGUUCGUUCAUCUUCUCCUCUCUUGCACUGAGUAACAUCGGACCAGGUCAAAGCUCUUUAAAGGUAGACAAAAAUGCUGGAGAAACUCAGCGGGUGAGGCAGCAUCUAUGGAGCGAAGGAAAUAGGCAACGUUUCGGGUCGAACCCCUUCUUCAGACUGAACUUUGUUUUACACAUCAGGUUUUAUACGGCCGUGCUCUUGAUAUUUUGGAGUAGUUUCUGUAUAUAAUCAAUCAGUUAAUCGAUGUCCCACUUCUGUUAGAAUUGAUUAAUUGUGCUGUACAUUUCGCACAGUGCAUUUCGCUAAACAUUAAAACAAUUACUGCAAUGUAUUAUUUUUGCAUUUUAUAAAUAAAUAAAUAAGCCACCCAUGUGAAAAGAA